UGGGGAAUCUUGCGCAAUGAGCGAAAGCUUGACGCAGCAACGCCGCGUGGGGGAAGAAUGCCUUCGGGUUGUAAACCCCUUUCAGGAGGAACGAAGGAUCGGCCGUUAAUAGCGGUCCGGUUUGACGGUACCUUCAGAAGAAGCCCCGGCUAACUACGUGCCAGCAGCCGCGGUAAUACGUAGGGGGCAAGCGUUGUCCGGAAUCAUUGGGCGUAAAGCGCGCGUAGGCGGUUCGAUAAGUCUGCUGUGAAAGUCAAAGGCUCAACCUUUGAAAGCCGGUGGAAACUGUCGAGCUAGAGUCCGGAAGAGGCGAGUGGAAUUCCUGGUGUAGCGGUGGAAUGCGCAGAUAUCAGGAAGAACACCAACGGCGAAGGCAGCUCGCUGGGACGGUACUGACGCUAAGGCGCGAAAGCGUGGGGAGCAAACAGG
rnacentral:rRNA from 1 species